GGAGAGGUGGCAGAGUGGUCGAAUGCGCUCGGCUUGAAACCGAGUGUGGCAGUGAUGUCACCGUGGGUUCAAAUCCCACCCUCUCCG
rnacentral:tRNA from 1 species